rnacentral:rRNA from 1 species
CCAGACAGCCAGGAUGUUGGCUUAGAAGCAGCCAUCAUUUAAAGAAAGCGUAAUAGCUCACUGGUCGAGUCGGCCUGCGCGGAAGAUGUAACGGGGCUAAACCAUGCACCGAAGCUGCGGCAGCGACACUUAUGUGUUGUUGGGUAGGGGAGCGUUCUGUAAGCCGUUGAAGGUGGCCUGUGAGGGUUGCUGGAGGUAUCAGAAGUGCGAAUGCUGACAUAAGUAACGAUAAUGCGGGUGAAAAACCCGCACGCCGGAAGACCAAGGGUUCCUGUCCAACGUUAAUCGGGGCAGGGUGAGUCGACCCCUAAGGCGAGGCCGAAAGGCGUAGUCGAUGGGAAACAGGUUAAUAUUCCUGUACUCGGUGUUACUGCGAAGGGGGGACGGAGAAGGCUAUGUUGGCCGGGCGACGGUUGUCCCGGUUUAAGCAUGUAGGCGGAUGUUCCAGGUAAAUCCGGAACGUUACUAACGCUGAGGUGUGAUGACGAGGCACUACGGUGCUGAAGUGACAAAUGCCCUGCUUCCAGGAAAAGCCUCUAAGCAUCAGGUAACAUCAAAUCGUACCCCAAACCGACACAGGUGGUCAGGUAGAG